rnacentral:rRNA from 1 species
AGCAGUCGCCACGGUAACACGUAGGUGGCAAGCGUUGUCCGGAAUUAUUGGGCGUAAAGGGCUCGCAGGCGGUUUCUUAAGUCUGAUGUGAAAGCCCCCGGCUCAACCGGGGAGGGUCAUUGGAAACUGGGAAACUUGAGUGCAGAAGAGGAGAGUGGAAUUCCACGUGUAGCGGUGAAAUGCGUAGAGAUGUGGAGGAACACCAGUGGCGAAGGCGACUCUCUGGUCUGUAACUGACGCUGAGGAGCGAAAGCGCGGGGAGCGAACAGGAUUAGAUACCCGAGUAGUCCCUGUCUCUUAUAC